CUGGUUGUUCAAUUGAUAUAUCUCCUCUACUCCAACCAUCACCGGCUGUAAUGCUGUAGUCUGUCAGGUCUCCAACCAUCACCUGCUGUAGUCUGUCAGGUCUACAACCAUCACCGGCUGUAAUGCUGUAGUCUGUCAGGUCUACAACCAUCACCGGCUGUAAUACUGUAGUCUGUCAGGUCUCCAACCAUCACCGACUGUAAUACUGUAGUCUGUCAGGUCUCCAACCAUCACCGGCUGUAAUACUGUAUAGCGUGUCUAUCAGGUAGGGGACAUCACCUGUUUGGGGUGUAAUGCUGUAUAUUCUGUCAGAUAGGGGACGUCUCUAGUUUCUCCUAAUGCUGUAAUUCUCUCCUGUCCUGACACGGUCACGCCCUCCCCUAAA
ensembl:lncRNA